rnacentral:rRNA from 1 species
AGCGAACGCUGGCGGCAGGCCUAACACAUGCAAGUCGAACGAGGUCUUCGGACCUAGUGGCGGACGGGUGAGUAACACGUGGGAAUCUGCCCAAUGGUACGGAAUAGCUCCGGGAAACUGGAAUUAAUACCGUAUGAGCCCGCAAGGGGAAAGAUUUAUCGCCAUUGGAUGAACCCGCGUCGGAUUAGCUAGUUGGUGUGGUAAAGGCGCACCAAGGCGACGAUCCGUAGCUGGUCUGAGAGGAUGAUCAGCCACACUGGGACUGAGACACGGCCCAGACUCCUACGGGAGGCAGCAGUGGGGAAUAUUGGACAAUGGGCGCAAGCCUGAUCCAGCCAUGCCGCGUGAGUGAUGAAGGCCUUAGGGUUGUAAAGCUCUUUCGCCGACGAAGAUAAUGACGGUAGUCGGAGAAGAAGCCCCGGCUAACUUCGUGCCAGCCGCCGCAGUAACAC